GGGGCGCUGGCGCAACGGUAGCGCGUUGUAAGUUUACCAUGACUUUCAACAAUAUGAAACGAACAUUCAUUCUAACAAAUUAUCAUAGUGACUCCAGAUCAAAAGGUUAUCCGUUCAAAUCGGGUGCGCCUCA